rnacentral:lncRNA from 1 species
GGCUGCCCAGGGGAUGGCUUCUGAGCUCUUCAUCAUGAUUUGAGUGCUUUUUUGUUAUCUGGCCUGACCACCACUGGGGGUACCCAGUCUUCUCCCUUGCUCUCCAGGCCAGGUUCCAGUACUCUGCUGUCCACCACACCCCGCCACUGCAGCCCAUCACUCAAGAGCGCCACAGCCUGUGGCAGGGACUGUCUUUCGGGGAUGAAGUUUCC